GACGAACUUUGCCGGCGUGCUUAACACAUGCAAGUCGAACGGAAAGGCCCUGCUUUUGUGGGGUGCUCGAGUGGCGAACGGGUGAGUAACACGUGAGUAACCUGCCCUUGACUUUGGGAUAACUUCAGGAAACUGGGGCUAAUACCGGAUAGGAGCUCCUGCUGCAUGGUGGGGGUUGGAAAGUUUCGGCGGUUGGGGAUGGACUCGCGGCUUAUCAGCUUGUUGGUGGGGUAGUGGCUUACCAAGGCUUUGACGGGUAGCCGGCCUGAGAGGGUGACCGGCCACAUUGGGACUGAGAUACGGCCCAGACUCCUACGGGAGGCAGCAGUGGGGAAUAUUGCACAAUGGGCGGAAGCCCGAUGCAGCAACGCCGCGUGCGGGAUGACGGCCUUCGGGUUGUAAACCGCUUUCGCCUGUGACGAAGCGUGAGUGACGGUAAUGGGUAAAGAAGCACCGGCUAACUACGUGCCAGCAGCCGCGGUGAUACGUAGGGUGCGAGCGUUGUCCGGAUUUAUUGGGCGUAAAGGGCUCGUAGGUGGUUGAUCGCGUCGGAAGUGUAAUCUUGGGGCUUAACCCUGAGCGUGCUUUCGAUACGGGUUGACUUGAGGAAGGUAGGGGAGAAUGGAAUUCCUGGUGGAGCGGUGGAAUGCGCAGAUAUCAGGAGGGACACCAGUGGCGAAGGCGGUUCUCUGGGCCUUUCCUGACGCUGAGGAGCGAAAGCGUGGGGAGCGAACAGGCUUAGAUACCCUGGUAGUCCACGCUGUAAACGGUGGGUACUAGGUGUGGGGUCCAUUCCACGGGUUCCGUGCCGUAGCUAACGCUUUAAGUACCCCGCCUGGGGAGUACGGCCGCAAGGCUAAAACUCAAAGGAAUUGACGGGGCCCCGCACAAGCGGCGGAGCAUGCGGAUUAAUUCGAUGCAACGCGUAGAACCUUACCUGGGUUUGACAUGGAUCGGGAGUGCUCAGAGAUGGGUGUGCCUCUUUUGGGGUCGGUUCACAGGUGGUGCAUGCCUGUCGUCAGCUCGUGUCGUGAGAUGUUGGGUUAAGUCCCGCAACGAGCGCAACCCUUGUUCACUGUUGCCAGCACGUUAUGGUGGGGACUCAGUGGAGACCGCCGGGGUCAACUCGGAGGAAGGUGGGGAUGACGUCAAGUCCUCAUGCCCCUUAUGUCCAGGGCUUCACGCAUGCUACAAUGGCUGGUACAGAGAGUGGCGAGCCUGUGAGGGUGAGCGAAUCUCGGAAAGCCGGUCUCAGUUCGGAUUGGGGUCUGCAACUCGACCUCAUGAAGUCGGAGUCGCUAGUAAUCGCAGAUCAGCAACGCUGCGGUGAAUACGUUCCCGGGGC
rnacentral:rRNA from 1 species